ensembl:snoRNA
AUCAUCCAGUUCCCUUUCCCAUUGGCUCUUAACACUGGUCUUGGUGGUUGCAAAAGUAGAAGAGCAUACUGAAAUUGGCUGCAUAGCCUUAUAAUCUGGUAUGUAGCGUGUGGCUAGAUUCAAACAGGG